UACGGAGGGUGCAAGCGUUAAUCGGAAUUACUGGGCGUAAAGCGCACGUAGGUGGUUUGUUAAGUCAGCUGUGAAAUCCCCGGGCUCAACCUGGGCACUGCAGUUGAAACUGGCAAGCUAGAGUAGGGUAGAGGGGUGUGGAAUUCCAGGUAUAGCGGUGAAAUGCGUAGAUAUCUGGAGGAACAUCAGUGGCGAAGGCGACACCCUGGACUCAUACUGACACUGAGGUGCGAAAGCGUGGGGAGCAAACAGG
rnacentral:rRNA from 1 species